rnacentral:rRNA from 1 species
UAGGGAAUCUUCCGCAAUGGGCGAAAGCCUGACGGAGCAACGCCGCGUGAGUGAUGAAGGUCUUCGGAUCGUAAAACUCUGUUAGUAGGGAAGAACAAAUGUGUAAGUAACUAUGCCCGUCUUGACGGUACCUAAUCAGAAAGCCACGGCUAACUACGUGCCAGCAGCCGCGGUAAUACGGAGGUGGCAAGCGUUAUCCGGAAUUAUUGGGCGUAAAGCGCGCGUAGGCGGUUUUUUAAGUCAGAUGUGAAAGCCCACGGCUCAACCGUGGAGGGUCAUUGGAAACUGGAAGACUUGAGUGCAGAAGAGGAAAGUGGAAUUCCAUGUGUAGCGGUGAAAUGCGCAGAGAUAUGGAGGAACACCAGUGGCGAAGGCGACUUUCUGGUCUGUAACUGACGCUGAUGUGCGAAAGCGUGGGGAUCAAACAGG